GGUAGGAUGGCUGAAUAUUUAGGCGUGGGGCUGUAAACCUCAACAUGGGGAUGUUCCCCUCUUGCCAAG
rnacentral:tRNA from 1 species